CAGAUUGUACACUAUAGGAUGUAGAUACUGAAAUUGCGAUUCGAGCAUUGAAAAAAUUGCUUAUUACUUUAAUACACCAUUUGAACAGAGCACGCAAUGUUCACGUGCUCGAGUUUAUCUGAAGUAUUCCGCCAAUGACGUACUACGUCCGGAUUACCGCUGUAUCCAAGAUGGCGACAAAGUUCUUGAACAUUAAGAUGCUGGUUAUCGAAAGCAGUACAUUGCUAUAGAUAAUUCAACAAUCAUGAUUAAUUCUCGAGGCGUUUUACAAACAUCAUUACCGCAUAUGUUGAUUGUCUGUCAUUUUGAAAGGGAUUUGCAGUCAUGUUACCACAGAAAACGAAAGAAAAGCUUUCCAGGCGUAACAAGAGGUGGUAGUCUCAGCAGUAACUCUUUGCGUGGAUGAUGGAAUGUGGGAGAUGGCGCUUCACUGCGAGACGACGCAGUCAUGCAGUGAAGCUACAAGGAUGCUGCGGAACCGGGAGGACAGUGGGGGAAAGUUCCCCAAAAUUUGACCAGUUCCUGGCUCCCCUUCCUGUUGAUGACGCAGCUCAGUAAAGCUGAACCGGCAGGAACGCUGCUCCAGACCAAUUGCCCUUACUAUGUGCCACAUAAUUUUAGGUAGUAAUGGCGCGUUUGAAGCUGGCUGUCAACUCGGGAGCCUGCUGCAGAAGUUUUUGUCAGUCAUCAGAGGAUUAGUUGAUCUUUGACUCUUUUCACGUUUGCCCUUGGUGUUUUUUUUUCCAUGAUUUUUUUUUUCUGUGCCGAACUGUUUAAUAAAUCGACAGAACGUGCUUCGGUAACGAGUCAUAACCAGCUUAAGGUAUUUUAUUUAUAUAGGCUGUCCCCCAGUCUUUGAGGACUUACACUUGUACCCAAGAGUGGAAUGGCCUCAUCAUUCGUGGCUGCGCUGCGCGUGCAGCUGUAAUUGCUACUUCCGUUUUGAACAUUUACAAAUACAUGAACAUUUCCACUGCUAGCUGUUGUACUGCGAUCCGGAAGGGUCAGUGGAAUGAAAUAUCUAAUCACAGAAAAUGUGACAUGUAUAUCACAUAUCAACUGACUAGGAUUAAUCACAGAAAAGUGUCAUAUGUAUAUCACAUAUCUACUGACUAGGAUUAAUCAGAGAAAAGUGUCAUAUGUAUAUCACAUAUCAACUGACUAGGAUUAAUCACAGAAAAGUGUCAUAUGUAUAUCACAUAUCUACUGACUACGACUAAUCACAGAAAAGUGUCAUAUGUAUAUCACAUAUCUACUGACUAGGAAUAAUCACAGAAAAGUGUCAUAUGUAUAUCACAUAUCUACUGACUAGGAAUAAUCACAGAAAAGUGUCAUAUGUAUAUCACAUAUCUACUGA